AAGGAACUUCAGAGUCAGUUCUUUUACUCUUUCUCCCCUUUCUCUUCUAAUUCACUGUAUUGGAGAUCACUAAGAAGAAAGAUAGAAUUUUCUGUGGAAGACCUUUGGCUCUGUCUAGUCCUGUUCUCUAAAGCUGGAUUCUGCCAAGGUUAUGGCCUCUGCCUUGUAGAUGGUGAGUGAGGUUUUUUCUUGUUACUUCUCAGAGUCACCUUGGCCCCCUCUGAUGCUAAGGACCUCUUUCAGCCUCUUCUCCACUUAAUGUUUAUGUCUCUCCUAACUGUGGGAGCUAGUUUUGCAAGCCCUGUAAGGCUAUUGUCUCUGUGUCUGCUAAUACAUUGGGAGGGGAAAAUGGAUGUCAAGUGAGAAAGAUGAUUAAGGGCAGCAUGGAAUCCAUAAGCUUGAGAAGCAACUCCACAAGGACAGACAGAAACCUCUCUGACCUUGCCUCUGACCUUGGUGAUAAGGGUAUCUUGCAAAGGCUGGGGCUCAUCAGCACAGAGCUAAACACACUCACGGGGACCGGAAGUAGGAGGAACUGAAGGAGGAUCCACGGGAAGAUUGAGCAGUUGUAGACCCUGCAAAUCUCUCAAGAAUCUUCCCUGUGGCCCACUGUACCUGGAAACAUACAAGAAAGUAAAUUCUAGGAAAUGUUCCACCUUGCCAGGAUGAUAAAUUAAAAAGUCAUCACGCACUGGAUAAUCUAUAUUAGGCAAGGUGGUCUCAUUGGUGAGAUGACAUAUGCACAGCAAUUGAAGCGAGAGAACGGGUCAAGAGAAUAAACGAAAGAUAACCAAGAUAUACAGAGGCUGUAAGGCCAUAACAUCAGGAUGGAAGAUUCUGGAGAAGAGACAAACACAAGACAAAGAAAGGGCAAGAUCCAGGUAAGUGUCAGGAAUAGUUGGAACUAAGGCCUUAACAUGACCAUGGCUCUAUUCCUGAUAUUCUGUUUCUCUCUGUGUCAACUUCAUGCUUUUUAAGACUGGUUUUCUCCACCUCAUGGAAACAUGGUCACUGAUAGCAUUUAAAUUAUACAUCUUAUUAGUUCAGCCACCAGAGAGAAAUGGUCUACGUGUUUUCUGUGACAGUUCAUCAAAACAUUAGGAGGAAAUUAGUCAUUGGCCUAACUUGGGUUAGUUGCCCAUCCCUGGACCGAUUAUGGAGUCCAAAAGGAUGUGGUAUGGUAUUAUCUGUUCCUGCAUAACAAAUUACUCCAAACUUUAGCAACUUUAAACAACAGCGAGCAUUUUUUAUCUCACAGUUUCUGUGCAACCAGAACUUAGGAGCAGCUUAGCUAGGUGGUUCUAUCUUAGGCUGGAGCUGGGGAAGUCUCUGAUGAAGCUGCAGUCAAGAUAUCAGCUACAGCUGCAGGCAUCUGAAGACUUGACCAGGCUGAAGGAUCACUUCCAAGGGGACUCAUUUACAUGCCUGCUAAGUUACUGCCAGCUGUUGGCAGGAGGCCUCAGUUCCACAUCACGUGGACAUCUUCACAGAGCUGCCUCACUGUUCUCACGGCAACGCAUCUGGCUUACCCCAGAUCUAUAUCACCAAGUACAUUGUCUGGCACCAAGCAGACAACCAAAAAUGUGUGAACUCAACUGAACUCAAUAGACAGAGGAUAUGAACAAAGCUCUUAAAUAAUUAAGGGCAUGUUUAAGGUGAACACAAACUUAACAUCAACUCUCAAACUAGAAGGUGCUUCCCGACACUUGAAAGACAUAUCCUUUAGAUGAAAUGAAUUAAAGACUGAUGAAAUUUGUACCUUCAAAAGGUAGAACAAGGUAAAGUAUAAAUAAUUUAUAUGUUAAAUAUUAAAUAAAGAAAAGUGUCUUAAAUAAAUAUUAGUUAGGACUCAUAUUUGUUGGUGCAAGAAACAGAUGCCCAACGACACGAGCUUAACAAUAAAAACAAAAAGUAGAUUUAUUGGAAAAUAAUUGGAGUAAUUAAUGGAAUCCAAGAGGUGCCUGAUCCUCAAGAACACAAGCACUAGCUGGAGCACAAAAGGAAACUCAGAAAUUCUUCUCCUUGAGACCUGUAUCUCUGCCCCUCUUCCCACAUCUCCUUUACUUUCCCAGGGAAGACCAGCUUUCUUGUUUGCAGUCUACAUGUCAGUAGGAACAGUUCCCAAGUUAGCGUAUGUAGUGUAGCCACUUAUGUUUGCUCCUCUCAGUUCCAGUUUUAGAAUUUCUGAGGAAGGAAUCAAUAGGCCUGUUUAAGGCCAAGUGCCCUCAAGACCAACUGAUCAUGCCUGGGAACAACGUCAUGUUACAGGAAUAUUGCAAAACCUUUUGCAACCUUACAAAUUGGACAAAGGGGUGACAGUAAUUCCUGGAAAAUAGUUUCUGGGUAGACAAAAUCAUAGGUAUGUGUGCAAUGAUGAUUUAGAUAAGUUAAGGGAUGACACAUUCAUUAUAAAACAUGAAGGUUGUUCAAGAUCCAACAAUAGUUCCUGGGGUUUGAUAAGAAAUCACAAGAUAGUCUCAGUGGCACUGUAAGAAAUGACUAGUUGGAAUCUUGGUCCAAGACAAGGUGGCAUUUCUCAUGCUCUAGUCAUUUUAUCGCAGUAUCAUCAUGGCUAUAGUGAAAGCACUGUCUUCAUCGCUACAUCUAAUGAAAAGGGUUUAAUUAAGAUUUUAAUUUCCUUUGCUGACAUGUUGAGGAAGUUUUCAGAAAAGAUCAACUACAGAUUACAGCUUUAACUAUAGUGUUUAGCCAUAAAGGAGGAUUCAGAUGGCUUUUGUAACACCUACCUCCUUGUAGGACUUUAGUGACAACAGUAGACUUGCUAAUAGCUAACUUCGGCAUCCGGGAGUUUAAUGCUUAUAUUUAAACUCAAAUGUCUUCUGACACUACCUACUCUUUUUGUCUAGUGUACUUUGGCAAAAAAGACAGUGUUCUCUAAAAGGUGUAAAAACUUCCAUUACAAAUGUUGUUAUUAUGGUAAAAUAGAAAACUUAAAACUACUGAAUGUGAAGGCAUAGAAGAUUACGUUCCUGAUCUAGUUUUUAGAAGGAAUAGAAGGUCAGAGUGAAGUUAUCUCUGCAAAACGUUACCAUCCUCGUCUGGGCUGCUAUAACAAAAUGGCAGAGACUGGGUAGCUUAUAAACAACAGACAUUUGUUGU